GUCACUUGAAAGUUCCAGACCUGUACACUAAAAAAUGUCACACGGUUCACUAAAAUUGAAAACUUUUUUUCCUUCUCCGAAUUCCAAGAAUCUGCUGUAGAGACGGAUUUGGACACAAGGGGAAGUAGAUAAUCUCCCACGACAAUUUGCAUAUCUCUCAAGCCAAGUUCAAAUCUCUGAAUUGAACUUACCAGUGACGACGGAAGGGUCGUAAUACCAAAUCAAUCCAAAAAUGGACGUAACUGCACCCACCAAAAUACACGGAUAAACAUCUUUCCUCCAAAUGAAGAGAUCCAACAAAAUGGGACAAACUUCACGGCACGGGGUCAACCUUAACAAUUAAAUAGUAUACGAAAUAAUUAUCACGUGAUCACAAUUUUAUUGACCUUCAUUACCAACCUGUCUUUAAGCAACUCUUCGUUCUGCAAAAGAAAUACAAUGAAAUAAUUAGUAAUAC